CAGUCGCCGCGGUAAUACGUAGGGUGCAAGCGUUAAUCGGAAUUACUGGGCGUAAAGCGCGCGUAGGUGGUUCGCCAAGUUGGAUGUGAAAUCCCCGGGCUCAACCUGGGAACUGCAUCCAAAACUGGCGAGCUAGAGUAUGGUAGAGGGUGGUGGAAUUUCCUGUGUAGCGGUGAAAUGCGUAGAUAUAGGAAGGAACAUCAGUGGCGAAGGCGACCACCUGGACUGAUACUGACACUGAGGUGCGAAAGCGUGGGGAGCAAACAGGAUUAGAUACCCGAGUAGUCCCUGUCUCUUAUAA
rnacentral:rRNA from 1 species